rnacentral:lncRNA from 1 species
UUAAGCAUUAGUGGGCAAAUCCCCAUCACACACUUGUUUUCUGAUCUGCCUUCUCUUGGACAGCAUUACCGCUACAUUGGCAGAACCAAGGAUCACCGAGGGACCAUGAUCCCUAGCGAAGCCCCCUUGCUUCAUCACCAAGUCAAGCUAGUGGAUCCUGUGGACAGGCAAGCACAGGGGCCCCUGGUCCAGGUGCUUCUAACUCUUGAGUUCACACAGGUGCUGGGUAUACCCAUUUACCAAUGAGAAUAGUGUGUUGGAUAUGCUGGAACUCAGGGAUCUGUUUCUCGUACACAAUCUGUCAGUGACCCUGAUGCAGACAAAAACAAAGGUGGUAACCCAGAGGUCCUUAACCACUGCUUUCACUUUUGGGUUGGAGGAUGACACAGGCCCCAAGCUAGAUUCAUUUUUUUUCUUACCCACUAGGAAACCUACUGAGAUCCAGUGGAGAUUUACU